AUUGGGGUGGCAUGGUGAUGAUGAUUGUUAUGUCUUUAAAAAUGUGUGCCUUUUCAGUUAAUUAAUGACAAACACUUUGACCCUUAAUCUAUCACUUUACACUUGUGUCUUAUUAUUGUCCUCAUCAUGUAUGCCCUUCCUAACCUAACGCCGUCCGAGGCUUUUUUAAAUAUGACCCUUCAUCAACGAAUCUAUUUUGUUACCGCUUAUUAUAAGGCGAAAAAAAAUCUUCAAGGAGCCAUCGCGAUUCUUAGACAGGAAUAUCCUAAUAUCGUUUUGCCACCAAAUCGAGAAUUGCUUCUGUUAGUUUCUGAAUUUGAAGCCACUGGUACAAUUGAAUUGAAUGAUCUCAAAGAUUAAUAUCUCACGGGCUGCCUUUAUUAUUCGUAUUGCUUGGAUCGGUUGUUGAUUACUGUUAAAACCUAACUUCAAAUGAACAAAGAAUAAGACGAAAUCACCAUGAUUGAUUAAGUGAUCAAUAGUGCAUUGGAUUUAUAAAUGGAAUCAUCUCUGAGGAAACUUAAUCCUCGGAAAAUUAAUCGAGCUAAAUAUUUGCAAGUGAUUGGAAAUGGAAAUUGAAUUGGACAUUUUUCAACCAAAUGCUUAUUCAUGAAAGAUUAACCCACAAUCAUCAUUUUGAAUUUUCCUGUUAAUUUCACCUUUCUACAUUCUCUUGCCUUCUUGAACAACCCUAUCGAUUCAUGAUCUCGCUACCAUUCCCAUUACUUGUCUAAUAAGUUACUAUGCAAGAUAACACCGUGCUAGUCAAUAUUAAGUAACGAUAUUAAUCAAAGUUGUGAAAAAAUUACCUCCUGAAUUUCCUAGUCACCUUGUCCAAUCUCUUAUCUACUUACUUUGUUACAAUAAAGAUACAAUUAUUGAUGA